ensembl:lncRNA GJD2-DT GJD2 divergent transcript
UUUUGCUCAAAUUCAGACUCUGGUCUUCAGGCCAGAAAAGGAUCCCCUGCUGCCAAAGUGAAUAAAGGAACAAAUGCCAAAAGUAGCUUGCCCACUUGAUGGUGGGGAGAUGAGCAUCUUUAAACUGGGGGCAGAGGCCCUCACUCCAGGUGGAGACAAGACUGCAAAGGCAAAUACUUUGAUGGAGAACAUAGCAACAACUUAAACUAUAGGACUACACCAAUCCUUGCUACUCAAAGUGCAGCCCAUGGACAAGCAGUAUUGUCAUAACCUGGAAAUGAGCUAGAAAUGCAAUCUCAAGAGCCAUCCCAAUCCGCUUUUCAGCAAGAUCCUCAUUUGCUUGAGAAAGCACAUUGGCUGGUCCAGUAAUACGUCUGGCAUGUGGUGCCAGGUGCCAUUGAAGCUGAGGAGAUUCCAAUGUAUGCAAGCAUGUUUGAUGAAUCAGGGGCUGAUGACUAUCGGAAAACUGUGGCGUAAUGGAAGAUCCCCAGAAGGAGAAUUUACAGCUACUUCAAGUGGAAUCUGGCACAAUGAACAGACUGGCCACAGGAGCUGAAGACUGGAGGAGAGUGACACUUCUAACUAAUAGCAUCUAAAACAUCCCAGAUGAGCUACUUCAAGAGUGUUUGUGAACAUCUUGAAACAAAGGCCUAUCUUGUAAACAAACAGAGCUGUCCCACUAAACUCUCCUGGCCUAGGGCCUCUUCUGGGAGCAUUCAGAGAAAGCAGGACUUAGAGGAUAGGGAGUUAAACUUCCUGCCCUGGUUCAGAUCUGCAACUGAGCAGUGAAUGACUCAGCACCAGGAGAAGGCAUCUGUGGGCCUGAAUGCUGGCAGCCAGGAAUAAGUGCAAAGGCUGUGCCAGUGAUGGCCAGAGUGGACGGGACAUGGCAGUGGAGGCUGGAGUCAUAGUCCACAAUUUACCCUCAGCAUCUGAGAGAUACCCCUAGGGAAUCCCGGAGCUGUGGAACAAGGAGGAAAUUAUGUGAGAGAUGGGGAGGGGACCAAUGCCACUCAGUUUCACAGAGAGGGGUUAUCAGGCAAAAGAAUAUAGGGUAGUUCUUCUGAAUCUCGCACACAUUGGAAUCACUUGGGAACUGAUUCCUGGAUCUUAGCUCUAACAAUUCUGAUUUAAUUGGUCUGGGUGCAUUUGAGCAUUUUGGGAAGUUUUUAGUUUCCCAGGAAAUUCUAAUGUUCAGUCAACGUUGAGAACCAUUGAUCUAAGCCUAGGGCUCUCCAACUUAAACUUACAUCGGAGUCACUUGGAGGGCUUGGUAAGCAGUAAAUUACUGAUUCCAUCCCUAGAGUUUCUGAUUCUGUAGGUCUGGAGUGAGGCAUGAGAAUCUGUAUUUCUGUGAAGCUCCCAGAUGAUGCUGAUGCUGAAGGUCUGUGGAACACAUUCUGAAUGGUACUGACUUGGGUUAAGUAUUUAUUGAGAUGACAUUUGUACCCACCAUGUGGGGUGGGUGCUGGGGACAUUUGGAUCAUGGAAACAGUAUAGAGCAGGACCCAACACAUAGGCUUAUUAACAGCCUGAGCCUCAUGCUGCCUCUGCUGCAUUCCAGCUACAUGAACUUGAAUAAUUUACUCAAACUUUCUAGACCUAAUUUCCCCAUGAGUAAAACAAGAACAUUAUGGCAGCUACUCACAAGUUGGUCGCAAUAUUUUUUUUGUUUUGUUUUGAGGCUGGAGUGCAGUGAUGCAAUCUCCACUCACUGCAACCUCCACCUUCCAGGUUCAAGCGAUUCUUGUGCCUCAGACUCCUGAGUAGAUGGGAUUACAGGUGUGCACCACCAUGCCCAGCUAAUUUUUGUACUUUUAGUAGAGAUGGGUUUUCACUAUGUUGGCCAGGCUGGUCUCCAACUCCUGGCCUCAAGUGAUCCACCCACCUCAGCCUCCCAAAGUGCUGGGAUUACAGGCG